ACAGCAGCAGCCGCGGGAAUACGAAGGGUGCAAGCGUUAAUCGGAAUUACUGGGCGUAAAGCGUGCGUAGGCGGUUUGUUAAGUCUGUUGUGAAAUCCCCGGGCUCAACCUGGGAAUGGCAAUGGAUACUGGCAAGCUAGAGUGUGUCAGAGGAUGGUGGAAUUCCCGGUGUAGCGGUGAAAUGCGUAGAGAUCGGGAGGAACAUCAGUGGCGAAGGCGGCCAUCUGGGACAACACUGACGCUGAGGCACGAAAGCGUGGGGAGCAAACAGGAUUAGAUACCCCUGUAGUCCCUGUCUCUUAUAC
rnacentral:rRNA from 1 species